GACGAACGCUGGCGGCGUGCUUAACACAUGCAAGUGGAGCGACGAACCCGGGCUUGCCCGGGGGCAGAGCCGCGAACGGGUGAGUAACACGUGGGUAACGUGCCCCGAUGACCGGGACAACCCGAGGAAACUCGGGCUAAUACCGGAUAAGACCUUCGCACAUCAGUGCAAAGGGGAAAGGUAGCUUCGGCUUCCGCGUCGGGAUCGGCCCGCGGCCCAUUAGCUUGUUGGUGAGGUAACGGCUCACCAAGGCUCCGAUGGGUAGCUGGUCUGAGAGGACGAUCAGCCACACUGGGACUGAGACACGGCCCAGACUCCUACGGGAGGCAGCAGUGGGGAAUCUUGCGCAAUGCGCGAAAGCGUGACGCAGCAACGCCGCGUGAGGGAAGACGGCCUUCGGGUUGUAAACCUCUUUCAGUUGGGACGAAGCUUCGCCGGUGAACAGCCGGCUGGAGUGACGGUACCUUCAGAAGAAGCCCCGGCUAACUACGUGCCGGCAGCCGCGGUAAUACGUAGGGGGCAAGCGUUGUCCGGAAUCAUUGGGCGUAAAGCGCGUGU
rnacentral:rRNA from 1 species